rnacentral:rRNA from 1 species
AGAGUUUGAUCAUGGCUCAGGGCGAACGCUGGCGGCAGGCCUAACACAUGCAAGUCGAGCGCCGUAGCAAUACGGAGCGGCAGACGGGUGAGUAACGCGUGGGAACGUGCCCUUCGGUUCGGAAUAACUCAGGGAAACUUGAGUUAAUACCGGAUACGUCCGAAAGGAGAAAGAUUUAUCGCCGAAGGAUCGGCCCGCGUAAGAUUAGCUAGUUGGUGAGGUAACGGCUCACCAAGGCUCUGAUCUUUAGCUGGUCUGAGAGGACGAUCAGCCACACUGGGACUGAGACACGGCCCAGACUCCUACGGGAGGCAGCAGUGGGGAAUAUUGGACAAUGGGCGCAAGCCUGAUCCAGCCAUGCCGCGUGAGUGAUGAAGGCCUUAGGGUUGUAAAGCUCUUUUGGCAGGGACGAUAAUGACUGUACCUGCAGAAUAAGCCCCGGCCAACUUCGUGCCAGCAGCCGCGGUAAUACGAAGGGGGCUAGCGUUGCUCGGAAUCACUGGGCGUAAAGCGCACGUAGGCGGGUCGUUAAGUCGGGGGUGAAAUCCUGGAGCUCAACUCCAGAACUGCCUUCGAUACUGGCGAUCUUGGAGUCCGGGAGAGGUGGGUGGAACUGCGAGUGUAGAGGUGAAAUUCGUAGAUAUUCGCAAGAACACCAGUGGCGAAGGCGGCUCACUGGCCCGGUACUGACGCUGAGGUGCGAAAGCGUGGGGAGCAAACAGGAUUAGAUACCCCCGUAGUCC